rnacentral:rRNA from 1 species
CGGUAGCAGGAAGUGCUUGCACUUUGCUGACGAGUGGCGGACGGGUGAGUAAUACUUAGGAACAUGCCUUUGUGUGGGGGAUAACCAUUGGAAACGAUGGCUAAUACCGCAUAAUGUCUUUGGACCAAAGAGGGCUUUCGGGCUCUCGCGCAAAGAGUGGCCUAAGUGAGAUUAGCUUGUUGGUGAGGUAAAGGCUCACCAAGGCGACGAUCUCUAGCUGUUCUGAGAGGAAGAUCAGCCACACUGGGACUGAGACACGGCCCAGACUCCUACGGGAGGCAGCAGUGGGGAAUAUUGCACAAUGGGGGCAACCCUGAUGCAGCCAUGCCGCGUGUGUGAAGAAGGCCUUCGGGUUGUAAAGCACUUUCAGUUGUGAGGAAAGGUUGAUGGUUAAUACCCAUCAGCUGUGACGUUAGCAACAGAAGAAGCACCGGCUAACUCCGUGCCAGCAGCCGCGGUAAUACGGAGGGUGCGAGCGUUAAUCGGAAUUACUGGGCGUAAAGCGCACGCAGGCGGUUAUAUAAGCUAGAUGUGAAAGCCCCGGGCUCAACCUGGGAAUAGCAUUUAGAACUGUAUGACUAGAGUCUUGGAGAGGGGAGUGGAAUUCCAGGUGUAGCGGUG